GUGGGGAAUAUUGCACAAUGGGCGCAAGCCUGAUGCAGCCAUGCCGCGUGUAUGAAGAAGGCCUUCGGGUUGUAAAGUACUUUCAGCGGGGAGGAAGGCGAUAAGGUUAAUAACCUUGUCGAUUGACGUUACCCGCAGAAGAAGCACCGGCUAACUCCGUGCCAGCAGCCGCGGUAAUACGGAGGGUGCAAGCGUUAAUCGGAAUUACUGGGCGUAAAGCGCACGCAGGCGGUCUGUCAAGUCGGAUGUGAAAUCCCCGGGCUCAACCUGGGAACUGCAUUCGAAACUGGCAGGCUAGAGUCUUGUAGAGGGGGGUAGAAUUCCAGGUGUAGCGGUGAAAUGCGUAGAGAUCUGGAGGAAUACCGGUGGCGAAGGCGGCCCCCUGGACAAAGACUGACGCUCAGGUGCGAAAGCGUGGGGAGCAA
rnacentral:rRNA from 1 species